AGAGGGAGGGAGGAAGAGGGAGAGGAGGGGGGAGAAAGACAAGAAGAGAGACGCAGAGAGACAGACAGAUGGAGGAGAGGCAUGCAGCGAAGAGGAGGAGAAACAAAGCGUGUUGACUGAGGAAGUGUGCACGCCAUGCGGGCCAUGUGCUCAGCCUGAACUCCUCAUGAUGCACGGCAGUGAAAAGGCAGCACAGACUGGCGGCUGAGGGCUCCUGUCCUGCUGUUGAAGGUUUGAGAGGCGAUCCAGAGUGGAAGAAGUGAGUCCCGGCUCGGCGCGUGGAUGUUUGCUGAGAGGCGGAACAGUGACCGACUGAAGCCGAGGAGGGAUAAGUCACUCGUCUCAGUCAUCAAGCAUCUGAGUCAUUUGAAUUUAAUUUGUCCAGUCUAUAUUUAGAUGCUUCAGUCUGGACUUCUGAUCGUUCAUAGGAGCAGAACAGAUGGGUCC